UCUCUGAAGUUUUCGGAUGGAAGAGAGUUCAGCUUAGUGGCGAACGGGUGAGUAACACGUGAGCAACCUGCCUUUCAGUGGGGGACAACAUUUGGAAACGAAUGCUAAUACCGCAUAAGACCACAGUGUCGCAUGGCACAGGGGUCAAAGGAUUUAUCCGCUGAAAGAUGGGCUCGCGUCCGAUUAGCUAGAUGGUGAGGUAACGGCCCACCAUGGCGACGAUCGGUAGCCGGACUGAGAGGUUGAACGGCCACAUUGGGACUGAGACACGGCCCAGACUCCUACGGGAGGCAGCAGUGGGGAAUAUUGCACAAUGGGGGAAACCCUGAUGCAGCGACGCCGCGUGGAGGAAGAAGGUCUUCGGAUUGUAAACUCCUGUCCCAGGGGACGAUAAUGACGGUACCCUGGGAGGAAGCACCGGCUAACUACGUGCCAGCAGCCGCGGUAAAACGUAGGGUGCAAGCGUUGUCCGGAAUUACUGGGUGUAAAGGGAGCGCAGGCGGAUUGGCAAGUUGGGAGUGAAAUCUAUGGGCUCAACCCAUAAAUUGCUUUCAAAACUGUCAGUCUUGAGUGGUGUAGAGGUAGGCGGAAUUCCCGGUGUAGCGGUGGAAUGCGUAGAUAUCGGGAGGAACACCAGUGGCGAAGGCGGCCUACUGGGCACUAACUGACGCUGAGGCU
rnacentral:rRNA from 1 species